AGUAUUACACCUUGAUGAACAUAGGGAUAGAUUUUGAUGUUGAAGAGACAUAUCAGAAACUAAGCACGGAGUCAAAUAAUGUCCGUGUUAUUGGUAUUUGUGGGAUGAGCGGGAUUGGAAAAACUACAACUGCCAAAGCUUUCUACAACAAAUAUUCCAACAACUUUGACAUCAACCGCUUCCACAGAAGUAUCACAUCUCGAUGAACAUCUCUUUGGGAUAGAUUCGGCUGUUGAAGAGAUAUAUCAACAACUAAGCACGGAUUCAAAUGAUGUUCGUGCUAUUAGUAUUUGUGGGAUGGACGGAAUUGGGAAAACUACAACUGCCAAAGCUUUCUACAAGAAAUAUCCCAAUAAAUUUGAUCUACAAAAGUAUUACACCUUGAUGAACAUCUAUUUGGGAUAGAUGUAACUUUUGAAGAGAUAUAUCAAAAACUAAGCAUGGAUUCAAAUGAUGUUCAUGCUAUUGGUAUUUGUGGGAUUGGAAAAAACUACAACUAUCAAAGCUUUCUACAACAACUUAGAUAUCAUCUGCUUCAUUGAAAGUGCAUACUAUAUUCUGGAUGAGGUAGUCCCCUGCUUCGGUUUAUCGUGCAAAUCUUGAUUGAACUUCUCAGAAGUAUGGAUCAUAAGGUCUCUAAUGUUAAAAGCAGGAUAAGGCAGUUGAGGAAAUACUUUGCUGUAAAAAAGCUCUAAUUGUUUUGUAGGAUUUAGAUCAAUGAAGCUAUUCAGAAUUACUAGUAAGGCUUUGCAACUUGUUUUCCGCUGGAAAUAGAAUUAUUACAGCGACAAGAGAUAAAAACCUGGUAAAACAAUUGAAACUAGAUAUAUCACAAGUAGACAUAUACUGGGUGAAGAAAUUGGGACAAGAAGAAUACUAGUAUUUUUUUCUUGAAACUACGAAUGUCUAAUAAGUAAAUAUUAUGCUUAAGGUUAUGCUUGAAUAAAUAAGCACCAUGAAGAUGCUAAGAUAUGUUGGUGUCUUGUUAGAAGAUUUUCAUAUACAAAACCUUGUCACACUUGACAUGCCGUUUAGCAAAUUCAAAAUCUUGUGGAGAAGUCCCAAGGUAUGAAACAGAGAAAUUCUUUUACUAUGUCAUCUUUCUGGAAAGAAUCCUAAAGUUAAUAUGUAAAGAAACAAUAGUAGAGCUAAUACAGAAAAGUGGUGGUGCUUGAAAUAAUUUGAAUGUGCUUACUUCUAUUUUUCUAAACAGCCUAUGAAGCAACUGACUAAUUUGGCCCGUAGGGAUUUGAAUCGUUGUUGCAAUCUAAAAUGAUUGCCUGAGCAAUUAGGCGAUCUCAAAGGCUUAAAGAUGUUAGAUGUAAUUUAUAUUGCUAUAUAGCAGCUUACGGAUUCAUUUGCUAGACUGAGGGAACUGGUAAUUUUGAAAUUGUACAGUUGCAAUAAGCUUAGAAACUUACCUGAGAAAUGUAGGUACAUGGAAAGCUUAUAGAUAUUUGAAGCAACUGAGAGUGCAUUUAGCAACUGCCUAAUUCAUUCGGAGACUUGAUUAAUUUGGUCGAUCUCUGAUUGUCUGAAUGUCAGAAGCUUACAGGCCCUCCAAAUAGCACAUGAAAUUUAAAAUUGCUUAAAGUACUAGAUCUGCACUUGUGUACAAAGCUGGAGAGAUUCCUGAACAAUUGGGGCAGAUGCAAUGCUUAGAAAAGCUUAAUGCAUCGUUUACAGGAAUACAAGAAUUUCCAGAUUGUAUUGGACUGCUGAGUAGGUUACAGGUGUUGGAAUUAAGAUCCUGCAACAAGCUUAGAUAUUUGCCUGAGAGCAUCGGGAAUUUUACAUCACUUGCACAUUUAUAUCUUGGGACACCUUUGAAAUUAGUUUUCCUGAUACGGUAAAAAAUAUGAAGCUGGAAUAUCUUGGUCUGAGAUGUAAUCUACGAUUAGGCUGCCUACGAUUCUAAGUUUCUCUUAUUUGAAAGAGUUAACUCUUGGUGAUGAGGGCC
rnacentral:lncRNA from 1 species